rnacentral:tRNA from 1 species
GGCAAGAUGGCCGAGCGGUCUAAGGCGUCACGUUUAGGCGAGCUGACUAAGUCUCUUCUUUGAUUUAUAAGCAGUCACCGUGAUCCGAAAGGGCGUGGGUUCGAAUCCCACUCUUGUCA